AAAAAAAUCAACAAGCAACUAUGUCAGCAUCACAGCAAAAGGCCACAGAAUCCUAGAAUCAUUAUGGUUGGAAACAGGAGCUCUGUAACACAUUUAUUGGUCAUGUUUCAGGAAGAACCUGGGUAUUGUCUGUUCAGAUUACUGAAAUGAUGACCUAAAAGUUGCACUCAUACUGAUGGCUAAAGUGUAAUGAAAAAAUCUUAUUUAGCUGUAAUUGGGACAGUGCAGGGCUGAAGGAAGGGAGCAUGCAAAGCAUCUUCCAUUUUUCAGCAAGUGAGAAUGGUGAAGUAGUCAGACUGCUGGACCAGUGCCACAGAGAGAAUGAGAGUGGCUUGGAGGUAUUGCCUGGAUGAUGCCAUGUACUGUAUGAUGUGCUGCCCACACUGCCUGCUCCCCUGCAGUCUGCUUGUUAGGGAGCUAAUGGGAACGAAUGCCAUCGUUUUCUGUUCUACUGUUCCAGGCCCAGGAGAGCUUCACUCCAAACCCACAAAACCAGAGGCUCACAUUUACAUGGCUACAACAUUAUUGUUUAUGUUUGCCUGUGACUGCUCCCACCAAACAAGUCUCACUAAUGUCAGCGUUUUAAUCAUGUGGUUCUCUUUACAGCUCUUUUAAUUAAUAUUCACCAACUCUUUUCAAAAAAUCAGAUCUAAGUACAGGCACAGAAGGCACCUGCUGGCUCCACUCCUCCCUGUCCCCUUGUCUUGGGAUGGGGACAGCCUGGCAUGUUGCUGAUCCAGAGGAAGGGGUGCAUUUGCUCUUCUAAAAAUAUUUCUUAUAUUGAAGAUGUUCAUCUCCUAAAACUUUUAGGGUCAAAAACCAGUAGGCUGAUUACACUUCCAAUUUGGUAAAUAAAAUUCAUUUUGCUGCAGGCUCAAUUAUCUUUGUGAUGCACUUCAUUCGCUCUUGCUGCUUAAUCCAUUAUUUUAUUAGAUACUUAAGACACCCAUAUAAAACAGCGAGGAAGAAGAUCACUGUAAAUAAUUGGUGGCAACAUCUUCAUAUUAAAGCUAAUUAAUAGAAAUAUGACAUUCACGUCCUUUGGAAUUUGGCUUGCUUUCAACUUCUCGCUUACACAGUACGAGCAAUCACUAAAAUAUACACAGAGAUGCUGUGAGGUUUGUUAGAAACUCACUUUGCCUAUUUUAUAUUUAUGUGUUGCUUAGCAGGAAAUGAUCUCCUCUGAAGUAGAAGCACAGAGAACUCUGCUCCUGAGGACUGGUGCAUAUCCCAGCCCCACACAGCUGAGAGCUCAGACCGGGGACCGGCGCGAUAGCAUCUUGCUGUACAGAUUCCGUAAUUAAUUUUAAUUUCUUUAAUUAAGUAUUUAGUCUUUGGGGAAGCAGUAUGAAAAAGUUGCUUCAUAAACUGACAAUGGGCAAUUGUUCCAAGUUUCUUAUCCUGCAGGCACACAGGAUAAUGAGAGCUAUAGAAAUACUUGGGCAGAUUGAUUGCACGGAGCAGAUAGGAAUCCCUUGGCACAAUCCUCUCAUCUGUUUUCAAAGUAACAGGCACCUCCCAGCUCUUCCAGUGAACAUCACUGUUCCCCCGUGUUGCAAGAAGUUAAACCAGCUUUGUCUGAGCGCAGCUAUUGGGGGACGUCCCAAAUAUGACAACACUGAAAUGAAAGAAAUACAGAAGAAAAUGGACAGAUGGGACUGAAUUACCACUCUCUUGUGAGCAGGACCAAAAAGCAGUUCACAAUAAAAAUCUGGAGACGUUGGUGAUUUCAGAUUCAAGGGGAGAACUUAAGAGAUUUGUAUCCAAAUGUAUUUUCCCUGCACAUGUGAAAGAAAUCUUUACAGACUGACUCAAAAACUGUCCUGCAUGAUAUCACAUGCAUAUGUUGCAUCAGGAGGUGACACUGGGAAAAUGGCCACUAGUCAAUUUUAUUGGACUCCUUGCAUUCAGUGCAUGGAAUGCAGGGGCUUCACUUCAACACUACAAUUUCUCCACCAAAACAAAUUCUCAUUUGAAGCCUUACAGCUUGGGUAGUUAAAGUGGCUGCUGACUUCACCUCAUCCCUUCAUCAAACAUCAACAGACAGCAGAAGUUGGGGAAAUAAUGUUAUCAAGAGUCUAAUAUCAAAACUCCAAUACUUUUCCCAAACACACAUAAAAUGAUAUAAAAGAAAGCCAACAGAUGCAGUGUCAUAUGGAUUUGCUUAAUGGCAAUGCUUAGCCUUUCCAAGAAAGGUUUACAUCUACAUUUACUACUAAAACCUGACAUUUGUAUUGAAUAAUUCAUAAUUUGUUGUUUUCUGUGCUUUGCUGCUUUCCUUAUAUGCAUGAACCGAAGUGAUGUUAUCUCUGCUCUAAGGGAAGGAGAUCAAUCUGUACAUAUGCAGAUACUUUUGUUGUCGUUCUGUGGGGUAUAAAUACAUAUUUAACUAAACCAAUGCUAAAAUUCCCUCUUUGCUUAUGACAGAAAUGCUCUGUACAGAUUUAAUUUGCAACAUGACUGUGCUUCCAACUAAUUCUCCCAGGACUCUCCCAGGUAUUUUGGCAACAAUCACAUGUAGUUUGGACACGUGUUUCCAUGCCUACCUGUGCCUCACUGUAAGACAAACUCAUCCCUCUUCACUCUCAGCACAGCUGCAAAUGAGAUCGCUGCCAGGGCUCUUCUACUCUUCCACCUUUUACAGCUUCUCACCUCCCACUCUGCUCUGACCUCAGCACAGGAAGGAUUUGAAGCAUUUGAAGAGACCCUUUGGAUCUAUACAGAACCUCAGCAAAGUGUGUAAGUAGGAGCCAAGGUGCUGUUUUUGUUACUUUACUAUCCUGUUGUUUCUAGCAUCAGCUUUACAGAUAUUACAGUUGGAAAUACCAUACUUGUACUUUUAUCUCCUGAAGUUUGUACUUUUUAAAAACUAAUUUUAAGACACUAUUGUCUAUUUCAACUAUUCUAUCAUAGACGACUUAUCAACCGUAAAGGUUGAGGGAACACUGCCUUUUUUCCUUGAUGCUUCAUCUGCAACUGAGAGAAGCAAAAGAGGAGCUUUGGCUGAUCCGCUGCUGCUCUCCCAGGCCAGUUGUCUUCUUUCCUAUUUCUCAAGGAAAAAUUUCUUAUUUAACUCACACCAACGGAUAAAGUGGUGCAGCAUCAUUUUUUCUGCUACUGUAGCACAUGCUGUAGCAUAUAAAACUUUCCUGCUUCUCUCUAGAUGGGAGUCCCUAGGAGUAAGUUCCUUCCUAAAGCUUGCAGAGCAGCCUGGGGCAGUUCCUGACUAAUUUGGACACCUGGACACGGAUCCCUGUUCUGCAUCCUGCCCUGAAGGCUUCACCUGAUGAACCAAUAGCCACAAACUCAAGGCACAGCAUAAACUACUGAAUAUCUGUAAAAGGAACAGCAAGUGUGAGACAAGGGGGUGUUGUCAGCAACUGAAACUAAGAACAGCUGUCCCAGGGUGGGAUCGACACUAACAGUGUUUCCUGCUUGAAUCUCCCUCACACACCUAAUGCUUGUCACCUGUACUGUAGUUCUGCUCUGUUCUGCAGUAACUGCCUUCCUCUGGGCUGGAACACAAAAGAAGACCUUGUGAAAACAGUCAUCAUUUCUGGGGGUAAAUGUUCACUUCUUUUCCCUCAGAAUCAGAGAGGAACUCCCAGAACUGAUCACAGAUCACCUUCAAGCCUGCAGCAGAGGUUGGUGGGACUUUCCAGGUACCAGCACAUGGGCAGCACGUGGCAGCAGCACUGACAGCAC